rnacentral:rRNA from 1 species
AGAGUUUGAUCAUGGCUCAGGAUCAACGCUGGCGGCGUGCCUAAUGCAUGCAAGUCGGGCGGGGUGGGUUUCGGCCCACUCACGCGGCGGACGGGUGCGUAACACGUGGGCAACCUACCCUAGGGCGGGGGAUAGCCACCGGAAACGGUGGGUAAUUCCGCGUACGCUCACCUUUCCGUGGGGAAGGUGAGGAAAGGCGAAAGCCACCCUUGGCGGGGCCUGCGGCCGAUUAGCUAGACGGUGGGGUGACGGCCUACCGUGGCGAUGAUCGGUAGCUGGUCUGAGAGGACGGCCAGCCACACGGGGACUGAGAGACGGCCCCGACUCCUACGGGAGGCAGCAGCAAGGAAUCUUCCGCAAUGGGCGACGAGCCUGACGGAGCAACGCCGCGUGGGGGAUGAGGCCCUUCGGGGUGUAAACCCCUUUUCUGUGGGAAGAAGAUCUGACGGUACCACAGGAAGAAGGACCGGCUAACUACGUGCCAGCCGCGGCGGUAAUAC